rnacentral:lncRNA from 1 species
CUGGGGAAUGAGCAGUGACCAUGGUAGGCACAGUCCCUAGGCUCACUGAGCUCUCAGUCAAGAGGGGGAAGCAAGCAAGUCACCAGACAGUGAUGACAGUGAUCAGAAGGAAACCCCCAGCAAGGCAUCAGGGUGGGCUUCCUGGUGGAGGUGACACCUGCCAGGAACAGACUCAUCCUGUUGCCAAAACUCCAGCUGCACCAUCUGCCUCUUUGCACUGUGAGCAGCUCAAAGGCAGGGCUGAUUGCACCUCAGCCACCCUCAUGUCCUCAGAGCUUCACCCAGGGCCUGGCACCACCCCCCCCCCCAAAGUAGAAUCUGCAGAAUAAGGAGGAAAAGGAAGAGGCAACAGGCCAAAUAACACCCUUGUACCUAAUAAAGUGGAUCUUGGAGACCGUGGCUCAUUUCUGCAGCCAAGUGGCUUCCUAACCCUGAACCCCAGCAUCACAAACCCCCCACCGCCUGUCACAGAAGAAGCUGGGCGGGAGGCCUCCCCUGCAGUGGCAGAGCCUUCCCUUACCACGCGUGUGUGGCCAAGCAUGACUGAGAAUGCGGCUCCUGCGGGCAGCUUGUCCCAGGUAGGAGGAGAAAGGGGCUGGGCCAAGCGUGCAGCCAGACCUGCUGAUGAGAAAGUCCCUCCUCCCUGGAGAGGAGUGGGUGAGGGGCAGAGCGAGGGGAGCAUCAGGAGAUGGUGUGAGGGUCCCCCCACUUCCCCAGAUGCUACAACCACCUUAUGAAGAAGGCUCUCUCAUCAUCAUCAUCAGGAGGCGGGAGGCCUUGCCCGACUCUAGAGCCGAGAUCUUUAACCGCCACACAAGGAACACGUGGAAGAGAUUUCACAAACCUCUUAUGCUGCAGUAGCAGAGAGCCCAAACCCCCACUGUCCUGACACUGCACAGGUUCACUUCUCCCCCAGGCCGGGGGUCCAGGGGGAUCAACAGGAAGGCCCUUCUCACUGUGGUCACCAGGGACCCGGCAGAUGGAGCCGUAGAGCAGCACAGGCUUCCUCCGUCACCAAGCAGGAGAACGCUCCUGCUGGACGUGACGCAUCACUUCUGCUCACUCUGCAUUGGCCUCAAGAUUGUGGCCGCACCACACUUCACAGGGCCAGAGAAGGAGAGAGCAUUCCAGAGAACUGGAAGAUUUAGGGACGGGCCCAAUGAUGACCACAACACUGAAUGAGGACCGAGACUUUCCAGAUGUUGGUUUCUGUCCCUGUGUGUUUGGUGCGAGUCAGCUGGACCUGGGUUAGAAUCUUCCCUCCAUUGCACACCAGCUGUGUGGCUUUGGACAAGUGACUGCUCCUCUCUUAGUCUUAGUUUCCUUGUCCGUCAAGUGGGGUACCUGCCAGCUGCCUCCCAGGAAGUAGAGGAUAUGAAAUGGAGUGUGUGAAGUACCCGGCACAGACUAGAGGCGUUGAGGCUAACGGGGGUCUUCACUGCUGCCACCUUCCUUCUGUCCCCAAGGCCAUCCAGGAGUGGCCAAGGCCGACCUCUGCUGUGUCCUGCUGUGGCUCCACCACCUGUAUGAGGUUCGGGAGGACCUGGUCCUGUCUCAGUCAAUGACGGUGAAGUUAAAGCAGGGUCAUCCAUAGUGGACGGGUUUCAGUGGAGCUUCUAGACUAAGACAGACUAAGAAGGAGGACCUGGUCACCCACUUCUGAAAAAAUUGGCCAUGCGAACCGUACGAAUAACAGCAGAGCGUUGAUACAGCACCAAAAGAAUACAAAGUUUUUUCUCCGACUGAGGAAUGUGAAGUCCACAUUUGGUCAAAAUGGUGGCAAGGCGUCAAUUUUACGUUCUCAGUGGAGAAAGACAGAAACCUUAUAUUGGUGCUGCUUGGAGAAAUUCAGAGAAAGGGGCUCUGUCCCAUACUUGGGGAGAUUCAGGACGCAGAGAACAGCUCAAGGAAUCAAGACACAAAUGACAUGGACAACUCAGCAGGAAGAGGAAAUCUUGGGGAAAAGUGACCCAAAGAGCAGAAACUCCUGGGAACCCACGGAGAUGCUGACAAGGGAGCUGGAUUUCUCCCAGUGGGAAGGAGGAUGUCUGUCUGUCCAAGGAAGAAAGCCAAGAAAGGCUGACAAUGAACCAAGCAGGAGAGGGAAGGCGGCUGGAUGGAAUGGGUCCCUGAGGAGGUGAGGGGGCACACUCAGAGCACAGGGAGGAGCCCCUCCCCGUUUACCCAUCUGAGCCUCUCCCAUUUGAACUUCACCAGUGCCCUGGAGGAUUCUGCACAUGCAGAGACCAAGUCAGAGAGACUAUGUGACAUGCCCCAAAUCACCCGGCUACUAAAUGGGCAGGCAGAACUUCAUGUCUGCCCCUGCGGACUAGGAGGGGCGUGCUUUUUCUUCCAGGAUGCGAUGCCUCCUGCUACGACCACUGUAUGCCAGUUGUCUCUUCAUCUGUCUGGGGUCUUGCCCACCGUGUGUCCCUCAAGGCAACACCACAACCUACUCGUCUUUGUCUGCCUGGGCCCAGCAACAGUGCCCAGCACAGAGAAAGCUCUUAAAACCUCAGGAAAUUAAUCUCAGUCUGUUUUCACCAUGACCCCAAGAAACGGGCAAGGGCAGGACCCACUCCACCCAGAGAAGACAUCUCAGGGAAGAAACUGGCUUUGUCAGGACCAGAAACCAAAGUUUCAAGAUGUCCUCAGCUCCCCAACUUGGACCUGGGAAUGGAUAAAGGAGAGAGAGGGCCAACUGUGGCAUACAUAUUUCUCAAUAAACCUGUAGGAAAAGGAUUAUAAUUUCCAAUCAUGAAAUUGGGGAAGAACAAUUGAAGUGGGGCAGACAACUCAGAGGCUGCCUCUGCCCCAGGAUUGGUGAACCGAGUCCUUCCUGUCCCCCCUGACCCAGGAGGGUUAGCGACUGGGGAUGCGAGUGGAGGACGGACAAGACGUAGAAGAGGGAUCAAGGGGGAAGAGGACUGAGCUACCUACCAUGAGGAGCCACAGAGAGGACAGACUUCCUGGAAGAGAGAGUCCUGCAUUAGAGCAGAACAGAGCCCAGAGGAGAAAAAGAAAGUGGAGCAGGGAAAAUGGGAACAAUAGGAAACUUUGUGUUGAACAGCGGAAGGAAGAUGGCAUUAGCUGCAGGAGCCCCUUUAGGGCCUGUCAAAGGGAACUCUCCAGCCUACAAAACUGGGACACACAGAAUCCCAAAGUUGACUUCCCGCAAGGACCUGGGACAGACAUGAAAACAUCAGAAGAUGAUCGGGCUCCAGAGACCUUCAGCGGAAUACCGAAAAAACGUAAACCAGGCACGCCAGUUCCAGGGGUCCUUGACGUGGGGAGAGGCCAAGGACACUUCUCUUACAAUUGAUUGCUCUUUGCUGCUGAUGGAACGUCUUAUGCUCGAAAUCAGAAUUUGGUCCAAAAAAUUUUGAUGACUGAAAAUAUAUGAAAUUGAAACUCCAAAGCAUGAUUUAAAAGGUGAAUGAUCAAGGGCAUCAGGGGAGUGUGGCAGAGCCUGGGCAAGCCCACAAGCUUGGCAGAGAAGAUUAGCCAUGUGAGACACAGCAGUCAGGAUGUUAUGUGCCAGGAGUCCGGGUGCAGCUUAACUGGGUCCUCUGCUCAGAGUCUCUGACAAGACUGCAGUGAAGGCAUCAUCGAGGCUGCAGUCACCUCAAGGCUCAACUGCAGAAGGAUCCACUUCCAAGCUCUAUCACAUGGUUGUUGGCAGGAUUCAGUUCUUCUUAGACUGUUGGACUGAGGAAGUGGAUCACGAGCUCCAGCCCCUGCUCCAGCAGAGGGAUUACACAAGGGCAUGACCGCCAGGAAGUGCAGAUGACGGGGAGCAUCUUAGACAUCGACCUACCACAUAUGUCAAAGCAGGGAGUGAGCAGGAGGAACAAAUGCCUUGACCUCUCUCUCUUCCCAUCCUCUGAUCUCCCACCACUGUCCUCCAGUGGCCAAACUCAAGUAGAUGCCAGAAGGCAAGGGAGGCCUCAAAGUUCAUCCUUCCAGGCCAGUACAAAGAUGGACAGAGAAUAGAUCUGAGGCAGGGGGUGGGAGGGAAGUAGGAUGGACAGGGAAUAACCAGGACCUGAGAAAAGACACAGAUGAGCAAACUGACUAACAGCCAUCAUGGAGGUCAGCUACCCUAGAAGACAAGACAUCACAGAGAACAGCCCCUCAUCCACCACCGCAUCCAUGUGGUGCAUCUCUUUUCUCUAAUAUAUGUAUCCAAUUCUUUCCCAGGCCCUAUAAUCUGGGGUAACGUUGAACUUGGGCCCUGUUAUAAAGUAAUGAAAAUUUAUGUAGAACAGUUGUCUCUACCUUCCGCCUCACCCCAUUUUGUCACUGUCUGCCUCUUUAAUUCCUGAGGCCAAGAGGAGAAUUUGGAGAGGAAAAGAGCUGAGCAGUGACAUUUGGAAA